UCUGGUUCCAUGCCAUAAAGGAGACAGCAGAAGAUGGAGCUGCUCAAAUACAGCUGAGGGUAUACCUAUGGAGUCCUGGAACUUUACUCAUUGUGUUGACAACCCUAGCUUGGAACUCACAGAGAUCCUCCUGCUUCUGCCUCCUGAGUGCUGGGAUUUAAGAACAAAAGAAGAGACUUGUACACUACACAUCAAGCAAGGGUUUGCUCUACUGCUUUGUUACAUACCCCAGACAACAUGACACCAAACAAACCUGACUUUAAAAGGCAGUGCGACUGUGUAAUUCAAAGGAGAAGAAAUCGCCAAGCAUGGCGGUACACACCUAGAGUCCUAACACUUGGAAGCAGAAGCAGAAGGACUUUUAAGUUCUGGGCUCAUUUCUGGUAUGAGACCCUGUCUCAAGCGCCUAUUUGAAAAAUCCAGAAAGUAUAAACUAUGAAUAAAUAUAUAGUUUUCAGACUAUUAACAAUGGAAAUGCUGAGCUGGAGAGAUGGCUCAGCGGUUAAGAGCACUGACUGCUCUUCCAGAGGUCCUGAGUUCAGUUCCCAGCAACCACAUGGUGGCUCACAACCAUCUGUUAUGAGAUCCGAUGCCUUCUUCUGGUGUGUCUGAAGACGGUGACAGUGUGCUUAUAUAUAAUAAAUGAAUAAAUAAAUAAACCUUUAAAGAAAAGAAUGAAAAUGUAUCAAUUUUACCUAUCAGGCUAUCAGAAUUUGUAAAGAUUUGUUAUGUCCUCCAUUUAGAAGGACUCUACACCAGUCAGAGUGUGAAGUGACAAACUGUUCAGAUGGUGACAGCUGUCAGAGCACACAGGAGUUUAAAGUUUAUCAGCCUUUGACCCACUAACUCCAUUUAACGACUCUGUUGGGCACCCUGUACCAGGGCCCUAAGGAGCCUCACUUCCCUGUCUUUGGUCCCUCCCUUCCCUGGAGUGUGAGCUGGACCUAAACUCACUCAAGGAAAACAGCAGGAGUUACGGGGCAGCAGUUCCGACAGGAGAGUGGAGGAGCCCUGAGCCCUGAGGCCCUGUCUUGGGAGCUCACUCAUUGUCUGGCGUUUGUGAGGAUUCCCAAUAGCAAUCUGCAAGUUUGGAAUGGAUUUUCCUGCGCUUCCAGAGCCAGGCAGUGAGUUCAGCAGUGCCUCCCCAUGGCGAGUGACACUCUAAUCCAAGUGGCACCUUCCUCAAACUCAGGAGACCUUGAUCCAGGAACAUCCGGGUGAGACCCAGCUAUUUCAACAGAUCCAUAAAUGCCUGAUUUGCAAAGGCUCGGCAUUUGGGGGAAAUUUGUUCCACAGGAAUAGAUAACAGAUACUAAUCUGUAUACUAUAUCGUUUCUGACACCAAAAAAGGGGAAGCUACCUAAAUGUUCCCCUGUAAGGUCAUCAGCAGGAAAGUGUAGCUCAGACACGCAAUGUAAAGAAAAAAGCAGUUACUCAGAUAAGAUCGGUGUAAGUGAACUGAUGCCAAGCUGCUCCCAUAGCUUAAGUCUCAAAGGCAAGUCUAGGGUCAGAGACAUAGCCCAGCAGGUGCAGGCACUUGCUUGCCAAGCCUGAUGACCCAGGACCCAUGUGCAGGAGAGAACUGACUCCUGCAUGUCGUCCUCUGACCUCCGCACGUGCACAGUAGCAUGUGCAUUCGCACACAACCUGGGUGGUAGGGAGGUGUGUGCUGUAGGGAGAGUCACCAGGCUGCUACCCGGCCACUGAGCUACAGAGGACAGCAGAGGAGUGAGGCUCACGGUUCCUUGCAUUCUUCAGUGUGAGUGCUGCAGGGAACAAGGAUUGCUUUUGUAAUUUAGAAAAGCAGUGGGAUAGAAUGUGCUUUCCCCGGUUGGGGAUUUAGCUCAGUGGUAGAGCGCUUGCCUAGCAAGCACAAGGCCCUGGGUUCAGUCCCCAGCUCCAAAAAAAAAAAAAAAAAAAAAAAAAAAAAAAAAAAAAAAAAAAAACAAGAAUGUGCUUUCCCCGAGACUCAUGAUAAUUAACAGUCAAUGCUGCAACUGAACUGAAUGAAUGACGUCCUUUCCUGGACAACUGAACUGAAUGAAUGACGUCCUUUCUGGUCAACAGAACUGAAUGAAUGACAUCCUUUCCUGGUCAACAGAACUGAAUAACGUCCUUUCCUGGACAACUGAAUGAAUGACGUCCUUUCCUGGACAAUAUGGCUCACUCCAUUACUUAGAAAACAAUAGAAUAAGAAAAUCAAUUUGCAUAAAAAUGUCCCAAAGUCCUCAGGCUGUGUGUCCUGGGGCUCAAAGGGAAGCUUGUAGUGAUGAAGGAUCACAGUCUCUUUGGCUGCACUGAAGUGUGAAGCCAGGCAUGGGUGGGGUAUUUCAGAGCUCCUGGCUACUAACCUGCUGCUUUUAAGCGGCUUGUCACCUGCCUUUCUAAAGUCUCUUCCUGACAAUGUCAGUGAUUGUUCUAAGUCACGUGUUAGCCUUUUUAGAAGUGUAAUGGCUAGGAAGCUCUAGGAGGAAGUGGGGUAAGGCAGGGUACCGGAGUGAGUGUGGCCAAAGUACAAUGUACACAGCAUGAAAUGUCACACAGAACCCCGACAUUUUUGUGUGCUGACUUAAAAAUAAUCUCAAAAAGAAAGGAACACUCCAGGGUGAAUUGUUAGUGCACGGGGACGCUGUGUUCAGAAGAGAAAGAGCCGUCAGGAGACCCUUUACCUUGGUUUAAUCAUCAGGAUGUUCGCACACAAGCUCUUUUCAAAGAGAAUUUUCAAGGGCUGGCAGUCUUGGAAAUACACAUUGUGAGUUCUUUUAAUACCUUAAAGAGAACAAAGCAGCCUCUUAAUAACUCUAAGUGCAAAAUGAACAGGCUUUAAAAGCCUGCCUUUCACAGCUAAACUAAAGCAAUAAAAAUUAAUGUCUCACGUGGCAGGUGCACACGGCCUGCCAUGGAACGUGGCCCUAAUUAAGAAACGUAUUGUCGCCCCCUAGUGGACAAGGAGCAACAUGUCACAUCUCAGCAAAUUAGGUCUCACCCAGCCCAGUGGUCUCAAACUUGAUAGGUAGCCAAGGAUAACCUUGAACUCCUGAAGCUCCUGCCUUUACUUCCCAAGUGCUGGGGUAACAGGCAUGUACCAUCAUGCUCAAGGACUGCAAGUCAAGCCCAGGCCUUCUUGCAUGAUAAGCAAGCACUCAGAAAACUCAGCCCUGAAAAGAGACGUCUUGAACAUACAUAAGUCAGUAACUGGCACUGCAGGUCAUGGAUCUACAAGGCUCUUUUUGAAUAUUUUAUUCAGGACUAGUCUUUCUUUAUAGGACUACCGGCAGUUAGACCUCUAAAUCUGGUCAGUGAUUUCUUUUUACUGUAGGAGAAUUAGCAAUACAGGUCGAGUGUUCCUGUCCUAAAUGCUUGGUGUUUCAGGGGCUGGAGAGCUGGAACUAUGGUUAAGAGCAGUUGCUAGACUAAGAUUCAGUUCCCAGUACCCUCAUAGAGCUGACAACUGUUUGUAACUCCAGUUCCGGGGUAUCUUCCUGCCUCCGAGAGCACCGGGCACACAGGCAGUGCACAGACAUAAAUAAAGGCAAUAGUCACAUACAUAAAAUGAAAUGAAAGUAUUUUUAAAAGUGUUCUGACUUGGAAGGGUUGGGGGAAUAUUUCUAAAAACUUUAUGAGUUGAUUAUCCCUAAUCUGAAAAUCAGAUUGGGUUGGGGGGGUUAGAUUCACACUUUCAGAUCAGGGUGCUUGCUCUGUGUGCCAGACACUUGUAUGCAUUUUACGUGUAUCUUCUCUCCUCCCUGCAGCCCUUCAGGGGAGGGAGGGACUAAUCUUACAGCUAGACUGCGGCAGCACAGUGCUGAAGAGCAAACUGAAGACCUAACCAGGAUGAAAGAGAUGGCUUAGACCAUCUUGCCACCAAGAGUGAGAAGACUGAUGACUUUAAACCACACCACAUGUUCGUUCUCUCUCUCUCUCUCUCUCUCUCUCUCUCUCUCUCUCUCUCUCUCUCUCUCACACACACACACACACACACACACACACACACACUAUUUUUUUAAGUUUAAAAAUUCUUUAAAAAGAAAAUGCCAGACACCAUGGCACACACCUUUAAUCCCAGCACUCAGGAGACAGGUCUCUGUGAGUUCAAGACCAGCCUGGCCUGGUCUACAGAGUGUGUUCUAGGGCUAGCAGAGCUAAUCAGGCCUGGUCUCAAGUAAAUGAAAUGACACAUUUCUCAGGUUAUAUGUUUGGUGAAAUUCUUUGCUGUUUUGUUUUGCUGAAUAACAGGACUGACUGACUGAUGUGGCCAGAAACUCACUAUGUAGACCAGGCUGGCCUCAAGCAUUAGUAAACCUGCCUUUGCCUGAGUGCUGAGUGUGCACUACUGAACCCAACGAUUACUAACUUAAUAAACAUGCACAUUUAUGUAUUAUCAAAUUUCGUUCAUUUGGCUGCAUAGCCAACCACUCUGGAAUCGAGUUUCUUGGAACAGCAAGCACCUGUUAUUUAGCUCUCAUGAUUUUACCGAGUGGUUCUUGAGGUCUAACGUAGGAUCAUCUGGGGUGAGUUCACCGUCUGUCUCUGGCCUCAGUGGGAGCAACAAGGAUGCUGAGGACGUAUUGUGUGAUGGUUUGUAUAUGCUCAGCCCAGGGAGUGGCACUGUUAGAAGGUGUGGUCCCAUUGGAGUAGGUGUGUCACUGUGGCUGUGGGCUUUAAGACCCUCACCCUAGCAGCCUUCAGAUGAAGAUGUAGAACUCUCAGCUCCUCCUGCACCAUGCCUGCCUGGAUGCUGCCAGGCUCCUGCCUUGAUGAUAGUGGACUGAACCUCUGAGCCUGUAAGCCAGCCCCAGUUAAACGUUGUCCUUAUAAGUGUUGCCCUGGUCCUGGCGUCUGCUCACAGCAGGAAAACCCUGAGACAGAGUCUAUCCCAGAAGUGUAUCCCUGGCUUCUCCUCUGGCUGAUAGAGGAGCUCCAGGGCAGCGUUGAUGAUGACAGCCUUGGGAGGCCCAGGCUAGGAACCUAGGCAAACCACUGCUGGCAUCAAAUAAGACCACAGUAAGCUGGAGCGGGAGAGACAGCGCAGUCAUUGAGAGCACUGACUGGACUCCCAGAGGACAGGGGUUGAAUCCACUUGAUGCCAACAACCAUUCACAAUUCCAGUUCCAGAUAGAUGGCUGAUGCCCUCUUCUGGGCUCCUCAAGCACGGCAUAGAUAUAUGGUUCACAGACAUCUAUGUAAGCAAAACGUCCGUAUACAUUAAAACAAAACAGUAACAAAAACAAACAAACAAAAAAGCCCACUGAGAUUCAAAGUGGGGGGACAGACUCCGACUGUGAAGUGAGGGGCUACAGAUGAUAGAGCAACUUUUGAAGGCGACCACAGUGGGAUGGUUUUAGGAUAUUGACCUUGUGAUAUAGCAGAAACUGGAUGGUAAGUUGAGGUUAUAGGGGAUCCAGUGAGCUUGUUGGGGAAAUACUAAGUUAAUAAAGUAGAAGUUAGUUAAAGCAGUGCUCAAGGAUGCUCUGCAGAAACUGCAGGGAGGAAAGAGUUGGUCUUGAAGAUAACUGAAGGGUAGGUUUGCUGAGUGUUUGUUUUUAUUAAGAUGUGUUCACUAAGAUUGCCUUCAAUUAGGCCCUAUACCCAUAACAAAAGGAGACACUCACUCCUAGGACACCGCUGGCCAUUAGACUCACUACUUUUUUUUUUUUUCUUUUUUCUUUUUUUUCGGAGCUGGGGACCGAACCCAGGGCCUUGCGCUUUCUAGGCAUGCGCUCUACCACUGAGCUAAAUCCCCAACCCCGACUCACUCCUGUAUCAAAGAGCAUGUUUCUAUAGAGCAGUUCAAAGUGGGCAGCUGUGGGUCAGGGCUG